GGGGAUUUGGCUCAGUGGUAGAGCGCUUGCCUAGGAAGCGCAAGGUCCUGGGUUCGAUCCCUAGCCCCG
rfam:Rattus norvegicus chromosome 9, whole genome shotgun sequence.